rnacentral:ncRNA from 1 species
CUCAAAAGUUUGAUUCUGGCUUAUUCAAUUUGUUAUUUAAGUGAUUGUACAUGCAAGUAUUUGCGUGAUUUAAUUAAUCUUGAUGAUUAUUUGAUUUAUUUGCAGUUCUUGAUUUUAAAAUUUAAGGUAUCUUAGAUUUAGUCAAUUUAUUGAAACUUUGGCAAAGGUUGUGCCAGCAGCCGCGGUUAUACAGCCCAGGUGAAUGAAUUCUUUAGGCAUAGAAUUUAAUUUAAUAAAAGUUAAGUAAAAGUAUACUUUUAGGUGAAAUUAGAAGUAUAUAUAAUUUAUUAUAAAUGAUUAAAUUUGAAAGUUUAUAAUUGAAAUUAGGAUUAGAUACCCUAUUAUUUAAGACUGUUAAGUUUAAUGCCCUGGUAUUAAUAGCUAUGUUCUUAAAAUUAAAAGAAUUUGGCGGUAGUUUAGUCUUUCUAGAGGAACCUGUCCUGUAAUCGAUAAUCCACGAUGAAUUUUACUUUAUUUAUUACUUAUAUACCUCUGUCAUGAAUGUUUUAUUAGGAAAUUUUCUAAAAUCUUUAUGAGAAAGAUGUCAGGUCAAGGUGUAGUUAUAAUAAAGAAGAGAUGGGUUACAUUAAUUUUAUUUAUAGAGGUAAAUAUGGAAAUUUUAAUGAAAUUGGAUUUAGAAGUAAAUGUUAUUAGAAAAUAAUGUUGAUAACAGCUCUGAAUUAUGCACACAUCGCCCGUCGCUCUCGUUGAUUUUAAGAUGAGAUAAGUCGUAACAAAGUAGGCCUACCGGAAGGUGGGCCUGGUUAGU